UACGUAGGGUGCAAGCGUUACUCGGAAUUACUGGGCGUAAAGCGUGCGCAGGCGGUUAUGCAAGACAGAUGUGAAAUCCCCGGGCUCAACCUGGGAACUGCAUUUGUGACUGCAUAGCUAGAGUACGGUAGAGGGGGAUGGAAUUCCGCGUGUAGCAGUGAAAUGCGUAGAUAUGCGGAGGAACACCGAUGGCGAAGGCAAUCCCCUGGACCUGUACUGACGCUCAUGCACGAAAGCGUGGGGAGCAAACAGG
rnacentral:rRNA from 1 species